GCGGAGGAAAAGAAACCAACAGGGAUUGCCCUAGUAACGGCGAGUGAAGCGGCAACAGCUCAAAUUUGAAAUCUGGCGCAAGCCCGAGUUGUAAUUUGUAGAGGAUGCUUCGGGGCAGCGGCCGUUCUAAGUCUCUUGGAACAGGGCGUCAUAGAGGGUGAGAAUCCCGUAUGUGACCGGCGCGCACCCUCCACGUAGCUCCUUCGAAGAGUCGAGUUGUUUGGGAAUGCAGCUCUAAAUGGGAGGUAAAUUUCUUCUAAAGCUAAAUACCGGCCAGAGACCGAUAGCGCACAAGUAGAGUGAUCGAAAGAUGAAAAGCACUUUGGAAAGAGAGUUAAAAAGCACGUGAAAUUGUUGAAAGGGAAGCGCUUGCAACCAGACUUCGCGGCGGUGUUCCGCCGGUCUUCUGACCGGCCCACUCGCCGCCGCGAGGCCAUCAUCGUCUGGGGCCGCCGGAUAAGACUCGAGGAAUGUGGCUCCCUUCGGGGAGUGUUAUAGCCUCGGGUGAUGCGGCGCGCCCCGGGCGAGGUCCGCGCUCCGGCAAGGAUGAUGGCGUAAUGGUUGCCAGCGGCCCGUCUUGAAACACGGACCAAGGAGUCUAACAUCUAUGCGAGUGUUCGGGUGUCAAACCCCUACGCGCAAUGAAAGUGAACGGAGGUGGGAGCUUCGGCGCACCAUCGACCGAUCCUGAUGUCCUCGGAUGGAUUUGAGUAAGAGCAUAGCUGUUGGGACCCGAAAGAUGGUGAACUAUGCCUGAAUAGGGUGAAGCCAGAGGAAACUCUGGUGGAGGCUCGCAGCGGUUCUGACGUGCAAAUCGAUCGUCAAAUUUGGGUAUAGGGGCGAAAGACUAAUCGAACCAUCUAGUAGCUGGU
rnacentral:rRNA from 1 species